rnacentral:rRNA from 1 species
GUGCGAGAAUUUCGAUUUUAGCUUUGUAGUGGAAAGCGGCGGACGGGUGAGUAACGCGUAGGCAACCUGCCCUUAGCUGAGGGAUAGCCACGGGAAACCGUGAUUAAUACCUCAUAAUGCGAAAGAACUACAUGGUUCUUUCGCCAAAGAUUUAUCGGCUAAGGAUGGGCCUGCGUCUGAUUAGGUAGUUGGUGGGGUAACGGCUCACCAAGCCUACGAUCAGUAGCCGACCUGAGAGGGUAAUCGGCCACAUUGGAACUGAGACACGGUCCAAACUCCUACGGGAGGCAGCAGUGGGGAAUAUUGCACAAUGGGCGCAAGCCUGAUGCAGCAACGCCGCGUGAAUGAAGAAGGUCCUAUGGAUUGUAAAAUUCUGAUCUGAGGGAAGAUAAUGACGGUACCUCAGGAGAAAGCCCCGGCUAACUACGUGCCAGCAGCCGCGGUAAUACGUAGGGGGCAAGCGUUAUCCGGAAUUAUUGGGCGUAAAGAGUGCGUANGUGGCUUUCUAAGCGAGGGGU